AACCCUGUGUUAUAGUGGUUUCAGUGUUGGACUACAACUCUGGAGACCAGGGUUCAAUUCCCAGCUUGGCCA